GCAUCAGUGGUGUAAUGGUCAACAUGCGGUCUUCCCAUCAUCGUAGCGAAACUUCCCAAUGGCCGCGUUCGGGGUUCGAUUCCCCGCUGAUGCA